rnacentral:rRNA from 1 species
UACGUAGGGGGCAAGCGUUGUCCGGAAUCAUUGGGCGUAAAGCGCGUGUAGGCGGUUCAGUAAGUCUGCUGUGAAAGUCCAGGGCUCAACCCUGGGAUGCCGGUGGAUACUGCUGGACUAGAGUGCGGAAGAGGCGAGUGGAAUUCCUGGUGUAGCGGUGAAAUGCGCAGAUAUCAGGAGGAACACCGAUGGCGAAGGCAGCUCGCUGGGACGGUAUUGACGCUGAGACGCGAAAGCGUGGGGAGCAAACAGG